GAAAGGCUAAUCAAGCUCGGAGAUAGCUGGUUCUCCUCGAAAGCUAUUUAGGUAGCGCCUCGGACGAAUACCACUGGGGGGUAGAGCACUGUUAAGGCUAGGGGGUCAUCGCGACUUACCAACCCUUUGCAAACUCCGAAUACCAGUGAGUACUAUCCGGGAGGCACACGGCGGGUGCUAACGUCCGUCGUGAAAAGGGAAACAACCCAGACCGCCAGCUAAGGUCCCCAAUCAUGGCUAAGUGGGAAACGAUGUGGGAAGGCAUAGACAGCUAGGAGGUUGGCUUAGAAGCAGCCAUCCUUUAAAGAAAGCGUAAUAGCUCACUAGUCGAGUCGGCCUGCGCGGAAGAUCCAACGGGGCUCAAGCCAUGAACCGAAGCUGCGGAUGCAUCUUAUGAUGCGUGGUAGAGGAGCGUUCUGUACGCCUGUGAAGCUCGAUUGAGAAGUCGGGUGGAGGUAUCAGAAGUGCGAAUGCUGACAUAAGUAACGACAAGGGGAGUGAAAAACUCCCCCGCCGGAAGACCAAGGG
rnacentral:rRNA from 1 species